rnacentral:lncRNA from 1 species
GAGAACCAAGGCUGAUUCAGCCAUAGAUAUUUCACAAAAUUCCCCUAUUUCUUCAAGUUUAAACCGUAAGUGAGAGAGAGUCAAGAGAGUAGAAAGGAUCCAGCUAUGUUGGAGGGGAGAAAACAGAGGAAAGCUGGUGCAUAUCACCCUUGAGGUAUCGAAGGAGAAGCAAGUGAGCCAUCUGCAUUUUUUUUCAGCUUUGAUUUGUGAGGAAAAAGGGAGGUAACAAUUGCUAUAAAACCGCUCAAGUGAAAGGUUGAAUUUCGAGUGACAGUCACCCCUGGGCAGUUUUAGUAAAAUGAUCAUAACUUAGUGUAAAAAAAAUAAAAAAUGAGUUCCGGCAAUUGCGUUUGAAACUAGACUCAUAGAUCUUUCUAACGGUAUAAAAUUGGAGCUGUGGAUCAUUUUACAUAUGCACCAGAAAAUCGCCCAAGUUGAAUGAAAAAUGCGCCCUGCACAAAUAAAAACUGGGAUGCUGUAGUAAAUUGUGCCCCAAUUUGGACAAAUUUAUGAACCAAAUCUCCUUCAGGUGUUUUUUUAAGAUUGUUAGUAUUUCAAGUCUAGUUUUAAACGAGCCAAGUUGUAUAAGUUUUUGACAUUUAUAACUCAAGUUAUGAUUUUUCCAAAGAAAUAAUGCUUGCUGGAAUUUCAGCCUUGAUUGCAAAAUUUUCAAGAUGAUUUUGAGCUCAAUUUCCUCAAAAUACCAUAUAAGACUUUAAACUACAAGUAUGUGUUGGAAAUGAACCAAAACCAUGGACCUUAAGUGGUUUAGACUCCAUUUAUCUCACUGUUUUCAUAGCUGGAAUUCUACUCAAGGCUGACCGAAAGAGAUAGUGAUUUUGUUUAGCUUUACAAUUGGCUUUGUUUGGUGAAAUCAUCUUGUUAAUGUCUUAAACAUAUGAUUGGACAUUAAUUUUGGUAUGAGUAGUGAAUUGAAGUAGAAAUGAAGGUUGAGAGGUGAAAACUUCACUUUCACAUGUUUCAUGUCCCAAGCGAUAAAUUUCCAGUUUUAGUUGAGGAAAAUGAGUGUUAAUAUGUUAAUACCAUGUUUACUAUAAAUGUUAGCCAUGUCAUGUGAUUUUUCUAGCUUGUACAUGUUCUAUUAGUUUGCAUCUGGAAAUUUCAGCUUGUAGAGUUGAACUUUUGCUUGAUGGCCAGCCUUGGUAUGGAGACAUG